rnacentral:rRNA from 1 species
GAUGAACGCUAGCGGCAGGCCUAACACAUGCAAGUCGAGGGGUAACAGGGAUUGCUUGCAAUCUGCUGACGACCGGCGCACGGGUGCGUAACGCGUAUACAAUCUACCUUACACUGGGGGAUAGCCUUUAGAAAUGAAGAUUAAUACCCCAUGGUAUGUCGACUUCGCAUGGAGAUGACAUUAAAGGUUACGGUGUAAGAUGAGUAUGCGUCCUAUUAGCUAGAUGGUGUGGUAACGGCACACCAUGGCGACGAUAGGUAGGGGCCCUGAGAGGGGGAUCCCCCACACUGGUACUGAGACACGGACCAGACUCCUACGGGAGGCAGCAGUGAGGAAUAUUGGACAAUGGAGGCAACUCUGAUCCAGCCAUGCCGCGUGUAGGAAGACUGCCCUAUGGGUUGUAAACUACUUUUAUACGGGAAGAAACAGUCCUACGUGUAGGAUCUUGACGGUACCGUAAGAAUAAGCACCGGCUAACUCCG